GAAGGAGUGGCUGAGUGGUUUAAAGUAUUGGUCUUGAAAACCAAAAAGAAAUUAAUUUGUUCUUCAUGGGUUCGAAUCCCAUCUCCUUUU